GGUGAGAUGGCCGAGCGGUCUAAGGCGCCAGACUAAGGACCAGGACAGUUUCUGUCCAAAAAUCAUAUCUGGUCCUCCGGGGCGUGGGUUCGAAUCCCACUCUCAUCA